rnacentral:rRNA from 1 species
AUUGAACGCUGGCGGCAGGCCUAACACAUGCAAGUCGAGCGGCAGCACAAGGGAGUUUACUCCUGAGGUGGCGAGCGGCGGACGGGUGAGUAAUGCCUAGGGAUCUGCCCAGUCGAGGGGGAUAACAGUUGGAAACGACUGCUAAUACCGCAUACGCCCUACGGGGGAAAGGAGGGGACCUUCGGGCCUUCCGCGAUUGGAUGAACCUAGGUGGGAUUAGCUAGUUGGUGAGGUAAUGGCUCACCAAGGCGACGAUCCCUAGCUGUUCUGAGAGGAUGAUCAGCCACACUGGGACUGAGACACGGCCCAGACUCCUACGGGAGGCAGCAGUGGGGAAUAUUGCACAAUGGGGGAAACCCUGAUGCAGCCAUGCCGCGUGUGUGAAGAAGGCCUUCGGGUUGUAAAGCACUUUCAGUAGGGAGGAAAGGGUGUAACUUAAUACGUUAUAUCUGUGACGUUACCUACAGAAGAAGGACCGGCUAACUCCGUGCCAGCAGCCGCGGUAAUACGGAGGGUCCGAGCGUUAAUCGGAAUUACUGGGCGUAAAGCGUGCGCAGGCGGUUUGUUAAGCGAGAUGUGAAAGCCCUGGGCUCAACCUAGGAAUAGCAUUUCGAACUGGCGAACUAGAGUCUUGUAGAGGGGGGUAGAAUUCCAGGUGUAGCGGUGAAAUGCGUAGAGAUCUGGAGGAAUACCGGUGGCGAAGGCGGCCCCCUGGACAAAGACUGACGCUCAUGCACGAAAGCGUGGGGAGCAAACAGG